CCAAAAUCUUCAACCCACCCCCAAAACCUUUACCCCACCCCCAAAACCUUCAACCCACCCCCAACCCACUUUCACCCCAUUCCCAACCUUCUUCCCAACCUGCCUUCACCCCACCCCCUGCCUGCCUUUACCCGCCCCAUCCUGCUUUCAACACACCCCAACCCACCUUCACCCCACCCCCAACCUCCCUCCCACCCCACCUUCACCCCAAUCUGCCCCCACCACACCAUUUCCCUAGGGCCCUCUGUCUCUAUCUAUCUCUGUCUCUCUCUCUCUCUCUGUAAAGCUCACAUUCUUGUUGUCAAGUUGUUGCCUAGCAUAGCUGUGUCUGCGGGUCCUGUCCAUCGCUUUGUUUCUUUUCCACUUGUUUCAUUUUGGUCCAAUUCUGACUGAAUGUCUGGGUAGUGGUCUGGUAGAGAAAGGCAGGAUGUUUGGUCAGGAGGUGUUGGGGGAUCGAACAACAAUGUCUGCUGUUGCAACUUCUGGGAUAAAAUGAGCCACAGAGGACUAUAUACAUUUAGUAACUGACCCUUUUCAGAAGUGUUUUGGUUCUGUACAUUCAUGAGAUUAGUGACCACUUCUCCUCCAGAGCCAAGCUCAGCAGUUACAACCUGCUGCUGGGAAAGAUUACCAGGACGGUGUUCAUUGUGCCCCAAAUGGUACAAAACUGAUUGAGAACGGAGAGAUCUGCCUGAACAUAUCCAACAUUAAAAUCUAAUAAUUUCUGAAGAAUAAGAGACGGACAUAUCCCAGGCUGUCACCCAGACACCUGUACCCCACUAAAGCUGUUCUGUUUCUGUUCCUAAAUGGAGGCUGAAGUUAAGCCAAGCUGUUACUUCCCAGGAACUGGUGAUUGCCUGACAGGAUCGACAGGAGACUGAGUUUGUCCGUUUGCACAGUAUGUUGUAUUCCAUGUCUGUCGCCCUGCCAAUUCAACCCUUCCACGAAUGUUGUUCUCAUGAGUAGCAAAUACACCAACUUGUUAGGUAUUUUUUUGCCAUUCAUUGAUUAAUCUGAACUGCUAUUAUCUUGAUAAGUAUUUAAUAUAACAUUUAAUAAAGAGACCAAAAGGGUGACUGCCUCUUUGUUUUUGUCAUGUGUUUCUUUGACUGACUAGUACCACAAGGUACAAUGAAUACUAACUCCUACAUAUUCCACAACCAUCCUACCUCACUCUUCUGUCGUAAUCUUUCUGCCUCAACCUCUCCGUCAUAACUAUUUUACCUCAUCCCCUUUGUCAUGACCGUUCUACCUCAACCCCC
ensembl:lncRNA